AACCCACCAGCUUUUGGCACCAACUGAUACUGUUACUGUUAUGAACUUGGGGACCAAAUCCUGGCUAUAUAAUGAACUGUAGGACCAAUGAUCCAAGGCAAUUUUACCACUAAAAAAGCUCUAUCAUUGUAGGUCUGUGCUUCCCUGCUAACCAGCCCUCUGUCCCUCAAGACAUUUAUGAUCUGUUCCAACAACUGAAAAAUGGGGAGUUAGAGUACACAAUAUAUGAAAGCUUAUAUUCCUCCUGCCAUAAAUGUCUACUUUAGAACCAAGAUCUGAAGAGAAUAAUCAUCUUUACCUCUACUCUGCUUGCGUCUACCUUGGCCCUACAUUGAGCAAAUUCCAUCGAUAACAGUUGCUUUGACGGAAGACUGUAGAGGUUAUAAGCCAGUGAGUAGAGAAGCCCUUUGAGGAACUGUAAUUAAUGAGGGAAGCCAAACACAGACAGAUAUGCUAUGUCCCGGCAAGGGAAGUAUCCAAUGGCCAGCCUUCAGAGUACAGUCAGUGUGAUGUUUUGCCUGGAGACUGCUGUUAUCCCAAAUGAGAAGGAAUGUGUGGUACUAUUAGAAAUGAAUACAUCAAGCUAUAGUCAAACACCAGGAGAUAAAUGGGUAAGUAUGAGAAUUUUUCAAAGACAUGUCAUUGCAUUAGAAUAAUACCUGGGUGCUCAAAUGGCAAAGGAGACCCUGGCAGAAGACCCC
rnacentral:lncRNA from 1 species